rnacentral:rRNA from 1 species
UACGGGGGGAGCAAGCGUUGUUCGGAUUUACUGGGCGUAAAGGGCGGGUAGGCGGCCACCGCAAGUCAGUUGUGAAAUCUCUGGGCUUAACCCAGAAAGGUCAACUGAUACUGCGGGGCUAGAGUGCAGAAGGGGCAACUGGAAUUCUCGGUGUAGCGGUGAAAUGCGUAGAUAUCGAGAGGAACACCUGAGGUGAAGACGGGUUGCUGGGCCGACACUGACGCUGACAGCGCGAAAGCCAGGGGAGCAAACGGG